rnacentral:rRNA from 1 species
GACGAACGCUGGCGGCGUGCUUAACACAUGCAAGUCGAACGGAAAGGCCCUGCUUUUGUGGGGUGCUCGAGUGGCGAACGGGUGAGUAACACGUGAGUAACCUGCCCUUGACUUUGGGAUAACUUCAGGAAACUGGGGCUAAUACCGGAUAGGAGCUCAUGCUGCAUGGUGGGGGUUGGAAAGUUUCGGCGGUUGGGGAUGGACUCGCGGCUUAUCAGCUUGUUGGUGGGGUAGUGGCUUACCAAGGCUUUGACGGGUAGCCGGCCUGAGAGGGUGACCGGCCACAUUGGGAUUGAGAUACGGGCCAGACUCCUACGGGAGGCAGCGGUGGGGAAUAGUGCGCAAUGGGCGGAAGCCGGAUGCAGCAACGCCGCGUGCGGGAUGACGGCCUUCGGGUUGUAAACCGCUUUCGCCUGUGACGAAGCGUGAGUGACGGUAAUGGGUAAAGAAGCACCGGCUAACUACGUG